GACGAACGCUGGCGGCGUGCUUAACACAUGCAAGUCGAACGGGGUCCAGUCUGUGGCAAUACAGAGGAAGACCUAGUGGCGAACGGGUGAGGAACACGUGGGGAAUCUGUCCCGAACUCUGGGAUAACAGUUGGAAACGACUGCUAAUACCGGAUGCCGUCGUUGGAUCGCAUGAUUCGAUGACGAAAGAAUUUCGGUUCGGGAGGAUCUCGCGGCCUAUCAGCUUGUUGGUGGGGUAAUGGCCUACCAAGGCAUCGACGGGUAGCUGGUCUGAGAGGAUGAUCAGCCACACUGGGACUGAGACACGGCCCAGACUCCUACGGGAGGCAGCAGUGGGGAAGCUUGCGCAAUGGGCGAAAGCCUGACGCAGCAACGCCGCGUGCGGGAAGAAGGCCUUCGGGUCGUAAACCGCUUUCAGCAGGAACGAGAAUGACGGUACCUGCAGAAGAGGGUGCGGCCAACUACGUGCCAGCCGCCGCCGUAA
rnacentral:rRNA from 1 species